rnacentral:lncRNA from 1 species
CUUUCUCCCACUGUCUCAUUCUCUACAUGCCUCUCAUCCUCAAGCUCUCUCUCUCUCUCUCUCUCUCUCACUCACCGCCUUACCACUUCUUCCUAUCUCUCUCCCUCUCAUCUGCUUUCACUCCCUCCCCCCUCCCCAAUCUCCCUAACUUCUCUGGCUUUCUCUCUUCUUAUCUCGCUCUCCUUCUCUCUUUCACUCACUUCCUCCCCUUGCAGUUUACAGCAAUGCCACAAUGGAAGUUGGUGGUUAGAGGUAAGUAUAAAGAGAUGGUCACACAAGGCUUGCAUUGAUUCUUCAUGGCAGUUGUUGCUGUUGCUGUUGUUGAUGAUGAUGAUGAUGAUGAUGAUGAUGAUGAUGAUGAUGAUGAUGAUGAUGAUGAUGAUGUGAAAAAAAUGAUGUGGCUGAUGACAGUUUUUUAUUACUGUCGAUGGUGAUGAUGCAGUUGCUAUUGUUGUUUAUAAGGACGCACAAAUGUUUGAUGAUAAUCUCAAUGAUAAUGCAGCUAUUACAUAGCAAAAGACAAUCCUGUCGCUAAUGUUGCUAAUGUUGAUGAUGAUGAUGAUGAUGAUAAUGACUUGUUAUUGUUUGGAUUGUUUACCUUUGACGAUGUUGUUCUUGUUACCAUAGUGAUUGCUUCAAAAAACUGUUGUUAUUACCAUUGCAGUUGUUAUAGUUAGACUUUUAAUUGAUUUUGUAGCUGUUAUGAGUGUCGCCGCUGACAAUACUAUUAUUAUUAUUAUUAUUAUUAUUAUUAUUAUUAUUAUUAUUAUUAUAUCAUAGCUAGAGUGAUCGCUUUUAUUGUGGUUGUUGUCGUUGUUGUGAUGUUGUUAUUGCGAAUGUUGUCGAAGAUGAGAAUGCUACUGUUGUUGUCAUUAUUGCACCGAUCUUACUGUCAAUGGUAUUGAUGAUGGUGAUGAUGAUGAUGAUGACGACGACAACGAUGGUGAUGGAGAUGGUAAUGAUGUUGAUGCUAGUGAUGUUGUUGUUGUUACUAAGUUGCUUUGUAAUGAUGGGGCAGAGCAUGGUCAGAGUGGAGAGGAACAAUGAAGUGAAGCUCCUGUUGGUUCCACUAACGGUGCUGCUGUUGCCAUUUCUAAUGCUAAUAUUGCUGCUGUUGCUGCUACUGUUGUCACUGUAGUUAUUGGUAGCUGUCUUAGUGGUGAUGGUUGCAGAAGUAAUGACAGGCCUGUUGCUGAAGCAGAGUUACAGAUGUGGUGGUGGUGGUGGUUUCCAUUGUGAUGAUGACGUUGAUGUUAAUCAUAACGAUGAUGUUAAUUUUUAAAACGAGCAAGAGUAGUCGGAAUUUAUGGUGCUUGUAUUUUCCUAAUAAUGAAUUCUCACUUUGGCAAAAUACUAUAAAUUAUGCCACAAAAAUGUACUUAAUUAAAAUGUCCCCAGUAAGCCACUGGUUUCUUUUUUUUUUUUUCCUCCUUUAAGGAAUAAAAAUGACUGUAGCAUGAUUAAAUUCAGAAAAUACAGUGAAAAAACUAAAAAACUGUUAGGCAUUUAGUUUUGUACUUUAUAGUUAGUUACUACACUUCUCUUUUCUAAUAAUUAUAAUUACAAAUAUGAAACAAGGAAAGGAUGUACGGUCAGUUGAAUUAGCUAGUAUUUAUAUUGUUAACUUUCGUGGGGUAAAAGAUACAAUCAAUCUUGUACCAUAUUAAAUGUUUCCCUGUAUUUAAUUACACUCAGAGAAAUAACAAUCAAUUCAAAAAGAAUUGAACUCCAAAAAGUGAAGUACCAACCUUUAAAAAGGUGGCCAGUUAAACACUACAAUUUCUCCCUCACUUUCCACUACACUUGGCAAUAACAAUGAAAAUAAUUAAACGUCUAAAAAGGUUUGAGGUGAGAAUUAGUUACAAGUUUUAUAAUUAUAAAUUUUCAGGUCACUAACCUUAUCUUUAGAGAUAAACCAUAUUUUCAUAUUUAUAUUAUUGUUCUGAUCAGCUUGAUCUCUUCCCAUCAUCAAGUGUUGUGUUCUUGGAUGUUUACACUGUACCAAGAUAAAUUCAUACUUAGAACCUUUAUUUCAAACUAAAAGUAGUCAUGCUCUUAUCUACCAGGAAACUGAUGCAUGUAACCAAGUAGAUAGGAGCAUUAUUAGAAAUAAGGAUGUAUACAUAAUACCUAAUGUAAUUUGAACUUGGAGUUCAAAUUUCCUCACAUACUGUGUAUACAUCCAAGAAUAAAACACCUGAUGGUGAUUGGAGAUCAGACUGUUUGAAACAUAGAGCAGAUAUAAUAUCAAAACAUUUUCCUUUAUAGUCCAAAAUUAUAAUAAUGACAAUAAUCUUCCCAUUAUUUGCAACAUGGACUUCAAAAGGCGCUUAUCACAUUGAGAGAAAAAAGUUAUGUUUCAGACUGGAAAGCAAAUAGUUUCACUGAAAAAAAAUCUUUUCUUUUAACUACACUGCAUGCCUGUUUUGUGAAGGGAGGGUUUCAGCAAAAUGAAGAUUAUAUGAUUCAGGAAAUAAAAGUUUGUGUACACCAGGGAGAUAUGAAUUCUGAUAUUUUAAGCUUUGUUAAGCAAACCUAUUCUUGUGACUCCUGAUUUGAUCCAAUCUUCCAGGUACAUAUAUUUGAUUAAGAAACUUGUCUUGAAAGUUUUAACAGAAGUGGUGCAUACAUACAUGAAGGGCUGUCUUAACUGCACAAUCGACCUCUGGGAAAAGCAAGGCACUCAAUCUCAUAUAUUUACUUAUUAAGCACAAGCCACAAUAAAUACAGAUUAGUUUUGGACCCCUAGAUCCAUGGGGCCUCCAAGCAACAGCCCAGUGAGUCUAUGCCAAAAUAUAGCACUGCAUACAUCUUGUAAAUGAUGUACUACCACUCAAAAUGGAAGCAAUCUAACUCAUCAGAAGAACCUCUUUCACAUUUGGUGAAAGGGCCAGAUGUUUAUGUUGAUAAAGUUCAUCUGCCACUAGCAUUAACUUUACAAAGAUAUCAUAAUUCCCUAUGUGCAGAUAUGCAGACAUGUGCUGAGACUAGUAUUUUAAGAGAUUCUUGAUCACCAAACAAAUGCUUAACAACCAGAAAUCUUUAAAGACCAGAUCCACUCCAUUACUGAAUUAUCUAUAUUUUCCAAAAUUUCAAUCAAUUAACUUUACUGAAGCCAUAGCUUUUAAGCACCAAGAUAGAUAGAGGUUUCAUUUAUUAAUUGCAAAGAUAAUUUUAAUUAAAGAAAGCUUUUCAGCUCACUAUAUUCCAUUUCGUAACUAUGACUUUUCUGCAUUCCGAAUACAUUUUGGAAUAUGGUACCUCACUCAUUACUCUUCACAUACAGGUUUAUGUACUCAAUUUAACUUCUGUGUUCACAUUAUAUUGAGAAUUAGCGCAGGAUAUUAACAAUGGCACAGGAGUGGUGUGUGGUAAGUAGCUUGCUUACCAACCACAUGGUCCCGGGUUCAGUCCCACUGUGUGGUACCUUGGGCAAGUGUCUCCUACUAAAGCUUUGGGCCAACCAAAACUGAAGCGAUUGCAUCAUAGAAGAGAAUAUGAAAGUUGAAGGAAAGGUAGUAACAUACAAGUGUGUGUGUGUGUGUAUAUAUAUAUAUAUAGAUAUAGAUAUAUAGAUAUAUAUAUAUAUAUAUAUAUAUAUAUAUAUAUAUAUAUAUAUAGAUAGAUAGAUAGAUAGAUAGAUAUAUAUAUACAUAUAUAUAUAUAUAUAUAUAUAUAUAUAUAUAUAUAUAUAUAUAUAUAUAUAUAUAUAUAUAUAUAUACAUACAUAUAUAUAUAUAUAGAUAUAGAUAUACAUAGAUAGAUAGAUACAAAGGAACUGAACAUAAAAGUAAGUAAUAGUGGCCCUUGUCAAAAGUGUCAAUUAACAAGUAUGCAGUAGACUCAUAUGUCCAAAUGUCAACAACAACAAAAAGAAAACCCUUGAUGAGCCAAGGACCCCUGAGGACAACAGAUGAUAAUUUAAAACUUCUUGAUAUAUUGGAGAGGGAGUAAUUGUCCUAGGGAUAGUUGUCAGGGGUGGGGAUUGUCCUUUGUGGGUAAAUGUCCUGAUAUGCCACUGACACCUAUAAAAAUUUACAAGUAAUUAAUGUUCACCAGGCUGCACAAGCGCAUAAAGUGAAUAUAAGAGAUUUUUUUUUUGUUUUUUUGUUCUUGAAUGGUUAAAAUAACUUCCACAGUUGAAAUGUAAUGAAGUCAAAGGUUAAAGACAACUUCCAACUUUGACCUGGCAGUGCUGUAGUGUUCAGGACAAGCAGUGUAUGAGAGAAUGUAUGAGUGACGCAUUCAGUAAAGUAGCAGAGUGUAUGGUCAAAAAUAUUCUUGGGUGUGUUCCAGAUAUUCACAGUCAGAUGAUAACAGUCAAUUCCUGAAUGACACUAACCCACAUAACCAUAUCAUUCAGCAAACUGAUCAUACCCAAAUUUUGUGAUAGAGAAGAGGGAAUAUCCUCCACUUCUCAAGUUUCUAUUAGCCAAUGGUCAGUAAAUAUAUAUAUAGGCGCAGAAGUGGCUGUGUGGUAAGUAGCUUGCUAACCAACCACAUGGUUCUGGGUUCAGUCCCACUGUGUGGCAUCUUGGGCAAGUAUCUUCUGCUAUAGCCUCGGGCCGACCAAAGCCUUGUGGGUGGAUUUGGUAGACGGAAGCUGAAAGAAGCCUGUCGUACAUAUGUAUAUAUAUAUAUAUAUAUAUAUAUGCAUGUGUGUGUAUAUGUUUGUGUGUCUGUGUUUGUCCCCCUAGCAUUGCUUGACAACCGAUGCUGGUGUGUUUACGUCCCCGUCACUUAGCGGUUCGGCAAAAGAGACCGAUAGAAUAAGUACUAGGCUUACAAAGAAUAUGUCCCGGGGUCGAUGUGCUCGACUAAAGGCGGUGCUCCAGCAUGGCCGCAGUCAAAUGACUGAAACAAGUAAAAGAGUAAAAGAGUAAAGAGUAUAUCAAAUAGUUGCUAGUAUUGUAGUUUAUCCCAAAUACAACUCUGAUAAGCAGACCAAUAUAUAAUAUAUAUAUCUACCAUAACUAUCUUCUUUUAUAAAGGUAUCUAAAACUACACUACCUAAUAUGCACUUCCCAUUUAAUAGAGUAGGUAUGCUUUAAAGGAGACUUGAAUGCUAUUUCUAACAGGUUGAGCAACUGCUAGCUCAUGGCUAGCUUGCAUUUGCUUGUAUGUAUGGGACAAGUCAAAUUUCAAGUGAGGUCAUUGAUAGGCAAUCUGUCACCUUCUGUUGGAAACAAUGGCUCCCAAAUUUUCUCAACCAGGUAGUUCCAUUCAUUUCUUUUUCAAAAACACUUUCAACCAACAAAUAUUAUUUCAAGAGGAAAUAGAACAGGAGAUAGAAUGGUAAUCUAUAUUUCAAUAUAUGUUUGUAUAAAAAGGAAGCAGGAGUGGCUGUGUGGUAAGGAGUUUGCUUACUAACCACACGGUUCUGGGUUCAGUCCCACUGCAUGGCACCUUGGGCAAGUGCCUUCUACUAUAGCCUCAGACCAACCAAAGCCUUGCGAGUGGAUAUGGUAGAUGGAAACUGAAAGAAGCCCAUCGUAUGUGUGUGUGUGUUUGUGUGUGUCACCCCCACCAUCGCUUGACAAUCGAUGCUGGUGUAUUUAUGUCCCCGUAACUUAGCAGUUCAAAGUCCAAUUUGUUCGACUAAAGGUGGUGCUCCAGCAUGGUUGCAGUCAAAUGACUGAAACAAAUAAAAGAAUAGAAGGAAGCAUUUGUCCAUAGUUAAGUAUAGUCUAUAUUUUAGGCUAGUUUGAUUUUCUUUACUUGAAUGUAUCCUCUAUAUCUCCUCCAAUGAGAGAUUUUAAUAUUUUAUAAUUAUUCAAUUAUCUGUAACAUAUUCUCUAAUGUUUCCUUACAUUAUAUUUUAUAUUAAUGCGUAAUAUUUUCCAAAUUUGGAUACAUUCUAUAUCAUAGAUGAUAUAAAAGAAAGAAAUAUUCCUAGCCUCCAUCAAAAACAAUUUUAGGAGACAUCCACAAUCCCUGAGAGAGUACCAAUAGCUAAAAGAUGAUGCAAUCCAUUCUCAAUUAGACUGCAUAUCGGCCAUUACUCAGAAUAUAUGAACUAAUGUUUAUAACUUUGGUAAAAUCACAUUGUGAGGGAUCCACAUUGAUUCAUCUGUAUCAAAUGAGACUUAAAUUAAAACUCUGAUUCCACAGAUACCAGAAAUAUAUGAGCUUUCCAAAGCUUAAAACAUUAAAAUUAUUCCAAACCCAAGUGAGAAGUGUUUUCUUACCACAAAUUAAUCUUUAUUUAGUUCAUUUAUCCAAGUCAUUUAUUUCUCUUAUAUUUACAUUACCUUAAUUUUUACUAUUCCCCACCCCCACAAUUACUUCAAUUUAUUUUUGAGGAUAUCCCUCGUCUAAUUAAAUAAUUAUCUACAUUCAUCUCACUACAUGAACCCAUCAAAACAUGUUUAUAUACAUACAAAUACAUUAUAUCAUCACCAUCAUUAAAUGAUGAUGAUAUAUAUAUAUAUAUAUAUAUAUAUAUAUAUAUAUAGAAAAUACUGCAUUGUGUAUAGCAUAGCAGUUACUCACAAACUAGUAUGACUUAGUUGCAAGUACCUUGCUUUCAGUAAUUGCUUAAGGUACUUAUCUUGUCAUGAGCAGACAGAGAAAUUUACUUGGGCUUCCCAUCCUUAACCCAGUGGCACACUGAGGGUGUGACUGCUGGAAAAAGAGGAGGCUGCAACAGUAAUCAGCUGGAAUGCAAUUUCAGCUGAGUAGAUGGAGCAACAUGAUAUGAAGUGCCUUGCUCAAGGGCAUAACACACAGCUCUGUCCAGGAAUCAAACAAUUUUAUGAUCAUGAGGCAAACAUCCUAACCACUAGAUCAUAUACCCACACCCUAACCUCUAAGCCAUAAACCCACACAUCUUUGCUCCAUGUGCAUAUGAUUGAUUUCUAACAUCCACACAAGGCCACAAAUUUUGUCAGAAGCUGACUUUAUUUUUAUCAACCCCUCUGAAAGGAUGAAAUAUAACUGACAUGUCCUAUAAGCUUUAUAUUCAAUUUUACUUUGUUUCUUAGUGAUUUUGUUUUCAGUUUUAUGUAUGCCCUGGUGGCAAAAAUAUCAUUAUUAUUGCCAUAAACAGUGUGAAGAUAACUGAAAUUCACACACAUACAUUUACACACACACACACAUAUCCCAUACCCCACUGAGUUAACUUCAGUUUUUGUCCAGUUGUUGAAAACUUAAAUACAAGUAGUGAAGUUGACUUUACCCAUAACUUCCCUUCCAAAUGUCAUUAAAAUUAUCAACAUACUGAUAUAUUAAUGAUGUUGGUGGUAAUGAAGAUUGUGUAGAAGUUGUAGGGGGCUUUACGGUGGGGUGGAGUUAUCAGUUUGAUCUAGAGGAAAGGGUUCUGAUUGUGGCCUAUGCAGGCCUUCCAAGACCGUUUCAAAUUGAUUGCUACAAGAAAAACAUGUACAAACGAAUUUGAGAGGGCUGACAGUCUGAAAAUAAUGGUCAGUGCGAGAUAUGAGGAUGAAACAAUACAGGUGACAAGAAAAAGAGAAAAACAAGUGAGUUGGGAGUGGCUGGGUGAAGGUGGGAUGAGACCAGCCAACAGGAGGGAGCAGAAGCUAUUGUAGUAGUGGUAGAACAGGCAGAAAGAGGAAACAGAAGUUGGAGUUUGUAAUUGUGAUCGAUUUCAUGCCAAUCAGUUGGGUGGCCUGUCUUUGGAAACUGGUUAGGAUGUGUAUGUGUAGGUGCACAUAGCAACGGUACCAUCCUAGAUGUGGGAGCAGUACUCCAUUAUGGAGGAGGGGAGAUGGUUAAACUGAAGCAUCUCCUGUUUCUGAAGAGGAAGGUUAAGCUUUGAGAUAAUCUUUUCUAUCUUGAAGAUGAACAUGUUCAUCAGGAAAGACCAGCAGCAGCAGCAAUAGCAGCAGCAGCAGCAGCAGCAGCAGGCAGCAGCAGCAGUAGUAGUAGUAGUAGUAGUAGUAGUAGUAGUAGUAGUAGUAGUAGUAGUAGUAGUAGUAGUAGUAGUAGUAGUAGUAGUAGUAGUAGUAGUAGCAGCAGCAGCAGCAGCAGCAGCAGAAGCAAUGUUUACAAGCAUGACCUUCUUCACCUUCCUGCUAGAUCAGCAGUAAAAACAUAUGGAAUUGAUUUUUUUUAAAAAGUGAAUUAUCAGAAAAAAUAGUAAAGCAGGGCAGUCAACUAGACAGACGUCUAGGCUGACUGACUGACUGACGAGGGUGUAUUUAGGGAGUGGUGCAGCUAGGUGAGUGACUGGCUGGCUGGCUGGGCUCCCCACAUAUAGUCUGAGCCAUCACAGUACAGGCUAACUGCAUCUGAUUGACUGAUAGUCAGACUGACAAACAAAACUACCACUCAUCAGGUCAGUAGCAAGACAGGUAGAUUGACAGACUGACAAAUUGACAGUUUGACAGUUUGACAGGUUGACAGAGAUUCAGAAAGAGUUCAACAGACAGUCAGGUCAACUGGCAGAGGUCAAAAGACAGACAGAAAGGAAAAUAGAGCGGCGGAGGAAAGUAGGUAAAGAAGAAGGAAGUGUAGCGAGGGAGAAACUGUGAAGAAGAUUGCAUGGUUGAACGACCUGAGCUGCACAUUCGAGCAUAGCAACAGUGCAAGAGUACAACAGCAAAGAAUUGGUAAAUAGUUGAAAGGGACCUGUACUACCACUGUUGAGUGGGGGUGGUCAUGGUGGGGAUUUGUAACAGUAAGUGAUGACAGUGGUGUCGGGAGAUGGGUAGGGGUGGUGGUAAUGAGAACAGUGGGGGUCAAACAUGUGGAGGCAGGUGGUAGUAAUGAAGGUGGUGGCAGGUGUGCUAACGAAGGAGGCAGGUAGUUGAGGAGAUGUCGUUCAUGGUACUAUGUUGUAGCGAAAAAGUGGUAACAUUAUUUGUGGUUGUACAGUAGUUGCUGUGGGUGAAGUUAAUGAUGGGUGAGGUAGAAGUGUUAAUGGUAGUUAGGGUACUUGCAACAAUGAUUAAAAGUGAUGGCACUGACGGCUGUAGUAGUGUAGUUGAUGUUGGUCUGCAUUAGUGGUGACUAUGAUAGUUUUGACGGUGGUGGUGGUGGUGGUGGAGAUGAAGUUGAGGCGGGUGGGAUGGAUGGAGAAGUGGCUGAAGAUGGUGAUGAGGAGAGUAGCACUGGUGGCGGUGGUGGUAGAGAUGAAGUUGAGUUGGGUGGGAUGGAUGGAGAAGUGGCUGAAGAUGGUGAUGAGGAGAGUAGCACUGGUGGCGGUGGUGGUGGUGGUGGUGGAGAUGAAGUUGAGGCGGGUGGGAUGGAGAAGUGGCUGAAGAUGGGGAUGAGGAGAGUAGCACUGGUGGUGGUGGUGGUGGUGGUGGUGGUGGUGGUGGUGGUGGUGGUGGUGGAGAUGAAGUUGAGUUGGGUGGGAUGGAGAAGUGGCUGAAGAUGGUGAUGAGGAGAGUAGCACUGGUGGCAGUGGUGGUGGUGGUGGUGGUGGCAGUGGUGGUGGUGGCAAUAGUGGUGCUGAUAAUAGUUGUAGUGGUGGUGGUGGUGGUGGCAGUGGCAAGAAUGAUGCUGGCACUGCUUCCAUCCAGCACAACCAGGAAAACUACCUUUGCUGAAAUUCCUUGAAAGAGGACGGUAAACAAAUCAAUGUAAGAAAACCAGGUCAAUAUCCGCAGCUGUAGCAGCAGCAGCAGCAGCAGGGACAGCAACAGUAGCAAUAGUAGCAACAGCAUUUUCGCUGCAGUAGGAUUUGUAGUAUCAGCACCAUUUCUGCAAUGACAGCACCAGUUGCAGUAUUCACUUCUAUGGUACUCUUUGUAGUAGUUGUAGUAGUAGUGCUGUAUUAGUAAGAGAAACACCAGUAGUAAUAGUAUUAGAUGUAAUGUACUAGUAGUAGUAGUAGUAGUAGUAGUAGUAGUAGUAGUAGUAGUAGUGGUGGUGGUGGUGGUGGUGGUGGUGGUGGUAGUAGUAGUAGUAGUAGUAGUAGUAGUAGUAGUAGUAGUAGUAGUAGUAGUAGUAGGUGUAGUAGGUGUAGUAGUAGAAGUAGUAUUUGGUGAUGGUGGUGGUAGUAGUAGUAGUAGUAGUAGUAGUACUAGUAGUAGGUGUAGUAGGUGUAGUAGUAUUUGUCAUGGUGGUGGUGGUGGUGGUGGUGGCAGUGGCAUUGGUUACAGCAGCAGCAGUAGUAGUGGCAGUGGUGGUGGUGGCGGUGGUGGUUAAAAAGAUGCAACAAAUGUUAAUGCUGACUCCACUUGCACCAGUUCCACUUCAAAUACCAUCAACGGCAGUAGGAGAAUACUGGCACCACCAGCAGAAACCAUCAACAGCAGCAUCAGUUUUUAAUGCUUCAGCAUACAGCAACCAAUUCUGCAGAGAUGGUAUCAACACAGCAAUCCUGUAAUGCACAACUGUCUCUGCAUAGAUUUGCAGCCUGUAUGUGUAUUUCUGCAUGUAUAUGUACAUGUAUAUAUAUAUAUAUAUAUAUGUAUAUAUAUGAGGGGUGACUGUAUGUGGUUAUGUGUGUGCGUGUGUGUCUGUGUGUGUGUGUGUGUGUGUGUGUUUACAUGGGUAUAUGCUUCCAAGUGAUUGGGAGAAAUGUCUACACAUAAUAAGUUCAAGUAAGUAUAAUAGCGUAGCUGCAUGAGCGGUUGUUUGAACAUGUGUACAUAAGUGGCUGUAAAUAAUUAUGGUCGUGUGUAUAUGUGUGUAGAUGGUCAUACGUGUAGUUUUAUGAACCAUCUGUAAGUGUGUUAUUGAAUGUGUGUGUGUGUGUGUGUGUGCGUAAAAAAUGAGUUUGGGUAUAUAUAAAAGUAUGUGAGUGUCUACAUGAAAGACUAUAUGCAAAUAAUAUUUUACUUCAAAGGGGUGUUAACUGCAAAAACAAAAUAUUAAUCUCUGUGUAUGUAUAUAUAUAUAUAUAUAUAUAUAUAUAUAUAUAUAUACACACACAUAUAUAUAUAUAUAUACAUACACAUAUUUAUACACACAUAUAUAUACAUACAUAUAUACACAUAUAUUUAUACACGCAUAUAUAUACAUAUAUAUAUACACACAUAUAUAUUUAUACAUAUACACACAUAUAUAUACAUACAUAUACAUAUAUAUAUAUACAUAUAUAUACAUACAUAUAUAUAUACAUACAUAUAUAUAUAUACAUACAUAUAUGUACAUACAUAUAUACAUACAUAUAUAUACACAUAUAUAUACACAUAUGCAUAUAUACAUAUAUAUAUACAUAUAUAUAUAUAUACAUAUAUAUACAUACAUAUAUAUACAUACAUAUAUAUACAUACAUAUAUAUAUAUAUACAUACAUACAUACUUACAUAUAUACAUAUAUAUGUAUACAUAUAUAUAUACACAUAUAUGUAUACAUAUAUAUACACAUAUAUAUAUACAUAUAUACACAUAUAUAUACAUAUAUGUAUACAUAUACAUAUACAUAUAUAUACACACAUAUAUAUACAUAUAUAUACACACAUAUAUAUACAUAUAUCUAUAUAUAUACAUAUAUCUACAUAUAUAUAUAUACAUAUAUGCAUAUACAUACAUAUAUACAUACACAUAUAUAUAUAUAUAUAUAUACACACACAUAUAUGGACACAUACACACACACACAUAUAUACACACACAUUAAAUGCUUGUGUAUGUUCAUAUAUAUAAACAGACAUAGAAAAGUAUUCUUAAUACCAUGUAGGAGCAACCUAGCCAUGUAAAUAUAACAUCAGAACAACCGGUUCAAAUGUUUUGGUUCAAACCUACAGCAGGCACUGUGUGGAGAGAGAGAGAAAGGGUAAGGCAGUUUACUAAACUGUUGGACAUUGGCUGUAGAUUAUUGAGAAACGUUAGGUCAAUGUUCUAUGAGAAAAAGACAUAUCAGUCAUCCAUUUAAAAAUGCAGAACUGAAGCUAAAGCCCAAGAGCUUAAAAGACUAAAGACUGAAGAGAUAUUUACAUAGAGGUAGAGUAUGAGAACAAAUGCAUUAUACUAUUUAAAUGAUCGUUAUAAUGUAGAGACUUCUCCAGGCCAAAUACUCAUUCCACUUGGUUGAAAUCAUUCCACUUCACUUUACAUGGCCAGUAUUAUUAUGAAAGUGAAGAAUACACCUUGUUUUCCGACUACUUAAAGUAUAGGAUAUUGGUGCAUAAUUUAUAACGUAUCAGUAUUUAGUUUUAUCCUUCUCCAAUCCACACUUAAAUCACACUUUCUCUAAAAUCACCAGCAAUAAACUUAGUGUAAUUGACUGUACUGCAUUAUUUUAACUGAAACCUAGUCAAAAAUAAAUAGAUCUUUAGUGUGCAAAUGUGUUUACAAAUUUCUUAAUUCCAUCUGCAAGCCUAUAGUCUACCAUGAGAGGAAGAUCAACUCAUCAGCACCGGCCUGACAAAAUGAAUGUAAAACAAUUAGAGAAUGAUAUUUGUGUUGAUAUGAAAUUUGAGACAUUUAACAAAUUUCAGGUAUAAUUUUUUUAUUAGUUUAUUUCUUGAGCUUUAAUCCUAGGUGACCCUUGAAUAAGCAGGCUAUUAUCAAAAGGAAGAGAAAGAAAUAUAAAAGAAGUAUUUGAGUGGCUGUGUGGUAGCUUGCUUACCAACCACAUGGUUCCAGGUUCAGUCCCACUGCGUGGCAUGCAAGUGUCUUCUACUAUAGCCUCGGGCCGACCAAAGCCCUGUGAGUGUAUUUGAUAGAUGGAAACUGUCAUAUAUAUAUAAAUAUAUCAUCAUCAUAAAUGUGUGUCUGUGUCUGUGUAUGUUUGUGUGUCCCAACAUCAAUUGACAACCGAUGCUGAUGUGUUUACUUACCCAUAACAUAGUGGUUUGGCAAAAGAGACCAAUAGAGUAAGUACUAGGCUUACAAAGAGGUUGUGAGUUUGAAUCCCGGACCGGGCUGUGUGUUGUGUUCUUGAGCAAGACACUUCAUUUCAUGUUGCUCCAGUUCACUCAGCUGUAGAAAUGAGUUGUGAUGUCACAGUGUCAAGCUGUAUCAGCCUUUGCCUUUCCUUUGGAUAACAUCAGUGGUGUGGAGAGUGGAGGCCAGUAUGCAUGGGUGACUGCUGGUCUUCCAUAAACAACCUUGCCCGGACUUGUGCCUCGGAGGGAAACUUUCUAGGUACAAUCCCAAGGUCAUUCGUGACUGAAGGGGGUGUCCGUGUUUGUCUCCCCACCAUCGCAUGACAACCAAAGCUGGUGUGUUUACAUCCCCAUCGGCAAAAGAGACCGAUAGAAUAAGUACUAGGCUUACAAAGAAUAAGUCCUGGGGUCAAUUUGCUCUACUAAAGGCAGUGCUCCAGCAUAGCCGCAGCUGAAUGACUGAAACAAAUAAAAGAAUAAAAGAAAAAAUAGAGAAAAUAUGAAAGAGUGGACAGCAUGGAUUGGGGUGGAAAAAGAGAGAUCAAAUUUGAAAAGUUGUCUUUUUUUUUGUUUUAAACAUUCCAUUUCAUAACAAAAUCCAAGUAGUAUUGCUAACGAGUACCAAUCAAAUACUUAUUCUUGCUUAGACUGCAUUUAUGGACAUAAUUAUCAAUGAUAUGAAAUCAGGUUGAACAGUUAGCUCGAUAGCACAUCUCUCUUCACAACUACUCACUUCAUUAGAAAAUCUGGAAAGUGAGUUGAGUUUAGUGGUUCAGAGGGCUCUUAGUUCUAUGCCACUGAACAGGGUAAUUCAGGCAAACAAAAACAAGAACUUAUUUUAUCCUGUUACACAUAACUAAAACAAAAAUGACAGCAGUCUCAUGAUAUAUACAAAAUUUAACCUGAAGACAAAAUUUAAUCUAAAUAACCAUCUCUUGUCUUUUGACAGAAGAUAAAGCAUUAAUGCAAUAAUAAUUUAAUGGUAUUUUGAAAGAAAGAAAAUAGUGACACAGUGUUAAAUGAUGAGAAAAUGAUUAGUCCAUUGAACUUGUAAAAGAAAUACACAAAUACACAACAUUUGGGGGCUUUUCAUUUCUUUGUCUUUUAUGUCACAUUCAUUAGGUGAGAAACAAAUCCUCACCUCAACAGGACACUCGUUAAUCUAUAUUGCAAGUAACUUACACAGAAAAUCCCAGAUCUUAUUGCUCACAAUUAGGCAAACCAAAAAAAACUGUUGAGUUAAUUUGCUUGUCCAGAGAUAAAUGGAACCUAUCCUCAUCAUCUUAAUAUCUUCUUUGCCAUGUUUAUAUGGAUUAGAUGAAAGUAUGUUUGAGCAAAGUAUUCUAUAGUUGAAUGUCUUUCCUGUAACCAACCCCAUCUAUUUGCAAAUGCCUAAUUGUGAGCAAUAAGAUCUGGGAUUUUCUGUGUAAGUUACUUGCAAUAUAGAUUAAUGAGUGUCCUGUUGAGGUGAGGAUUUGUUUCUCACCUAAUGAAUGCGACAUUACCCAGUCUAUCAAACAACAGUUUGAACAUGCUUACAUAGAGAACUGGAAAUAAAGGACAUUAAAAAUGAGCCUUUUUGUUAACAAAGAUUGCAGGACAUGUCAAGACAUGUCAAGAGACCUGACAUGUUUUAUAGCAGACUGCAAGUAGAUGACUGUUAGUGAAGCCAUUGUUCACAACCAAUGAGUAAAUGGCAUGUGUGGACAAAGGAAAUACCAAACCACAAACACAGACAUACAUAUAUAUAUAUAUAUAUAUAUAUAUAUAUAAUCAUCAUCAUUGUCAUCAUCGUCAUUUAACAUCCGCUUUCCAUGCUGGCACGAGUCAGAUGGUUUGAUUGACAACUGGCAAGCCAGAAGGUUGUACCAGGCUCCAACCUGAUGUAGUAGAAAACACUCAAUGGGACUGAACCUGGAAACCAUAUGUUUGUGAUACAAACUUCUUGGCCACACCACCAUCCCUGUGUCUUACAGUAGAAAAUGAAUUUGUAAUCCAUAAACAAGUUUACUGUUUAAUGACUUAUACAUUCAUCAACCGCUACAAAAUAAAAUAAUAAUAAUGAUAAUAAUAAUAAUAAUAAUAAUAAUAAUAAUAAUAAUAACAAUAAUAAUAUUGCAGAGCAAGAUCAGAGCUUACCUACCAGAAACUACCAUGCGAAUGUCCUUAAAGAUGGAUCUGACCCCUCACGCAAAAUUUGCGGGAAAUUCACAGAGACAAUUGAUCAUGCUGUUUCUGGUUGCCAAGUCCUUGCUGAAAAGGAGUACCUCAGAAGACAUGACAGACUAGGGCAGUACAUCCACUGGAAUGCUUGUAAAUACUACAAAAUUAAAUCUCAUGAUAAGCAGUACAGGCUCCAUCCAGAGGAUGUAGUAAAUGACGAGGGCAUCACCAUCCUUUGGCACUUCCCAAUACAAACAGACAGAAAAACUGACUCCAAUCGACCAGGAUCAAGGACUUCAACGGAGGAACUUGUCUGUUAAUAGAUAUGUCUGUCCCUCAAGAUCAAAAUGUCUCAAGAGAGGAAUACAAAAAGCUUUCUCACUAUAAAGAUCUAUAAAUUGUAAUCACAAAAAUGUGGAAGCUUAUUACUAUGAUAAUACCAGUAGUAAUAAAGAAGGGAGCUGAGCAGUAUAUUAAGCAACUCCCUGGUAAUUCCAAUGUCCGUGAACUACAAAAGAUAACCUUGAUGGGUACAGCCCCUGUAUACUACGGAAAACACUCUCCAUCUAAAAUGGAAUAAAUGUGGUGAUAAUAUUAGCAUGCAUUGCAAAACAAAAGUGCUCUUGCUAUUCUUGGCUUCCAGAGGACGCCAAGAGUACUAAGGCAGCUGAUAUAGAGUUAUAAUGAAAAGAAGCCAUUAAUAAGAAUAAUAAUAAUAAUAAUAAUAAUAAUAAUAAUAAUAAUAAUAAUAAUAAUAAUAAUAAUAAUAAUAAUAAUAAUAAUAAUAAUGAUAAUAAUAAUAAUUGUUUGUAAUAUAAGCACAAGACCUAAAAUUUGGGGGAAGAGGAUAGUGAAUUACAUCAACCCCAGUACUCAACUGGUACUUAUUCUAGUGACCCUGAAAUGAUGAAAGGCAAAGUUAGCCUCAGAAUGUAAAUAACCAUAAUAAACACCACAAGGCGAACAUUCUAAUCAUUCUACCAAUUCAAUAAUGAUAAAAUGAAAAAUAUGUAGAUGGUAUUGAUUGAUUAAUGUAGAUGUUAACAUAAUUAUUACAAUAGUCACAGAAAUUAAUUAUUCCAAUUGAUAAUUUGUCAGUUUAUCAACUAUUGAAUGUUUAACUAGCAAUAGUUGGCAGAAACAUCUUUUAUUCAUAUUGAUGAUAUCAUGGAGAAGAGGAAGAGGAGGAAGAAGGAGAGAGAAAGAACAACAGUUGGUUCUUGCAUAAAGUGGUUCUUUAUGGAACAACAGAAGGAAGAGUAACAGAAAAAAUAGAAUUUAAGGACACAACAGCCACAACCUUAUAACCAAAGAUUCAUCGUUCUUCUAGUCCUAUUCUGUACAUUUCCCUUAUCAAUUCAUAGAACAGGUUCAGAUUACUACACUCAGACUCCAAUCAAGGAAUAUAUGGUAGCUUCAACAACCAAAAACUCCAACAUGCACCAUUCCAAUUAUAACUGACUUCAGUAAAUCUUUCCACUCCAUUUCCCACAUCCUAAUUAUAAACAAAACAUAAUGUUUCAUAGCAAAGUUUCUUUCACAUCACAAAGCAUACACAGAAUAUAAAAAAGCAUCUAAAAAUCUGUAAUUUCUCAGUUCUGUAAGGAUCUCUUCCCAUCUAUUUUAAGUUGUAUCAUCAUGGCCACUUCACAUUCACUGCAAACCAUGCACGUCCUUUUAUGUAGAAAACAUCCUAGUUACCUUCUAUUACCAAACAUAGCUGCCAAGCAGCUCAAACUCUUUACCAAAGAUCUAACAAGUUAACUCUAAACAAAUAGACUAAGACUAGCAUCUACCAAAUCCAUGUUUUCCCUUCUUUCCAGCAACAAAAAAGGACAUUAUUAUAUACAAUUAACUAUGACAAUCAACAACAUAAAUGUACCAGACACAGAGUUGAUAAAAAUACCAGCAAUUAACCACAACAUUCACACAACAUAGAAGGAAUUUAAAAAAAGAAGUAUACAAAUGCAUAAGGGCACAGAUUAUUCAUAGACACUACAUGUAGAUAACACAAAGAUAAAAUAACACUAACAUCAUCAUCAUUUAGCAUCUGCUUUCCAUGCUAACAUGGGUUGAACAGUUUGAUGGGAGCUGGUCAACUGGGGAGCUGCCCAGGUUCCAAUUGUCUAUUUUGACAUAGUUUCUAAGGAUAGACGCCUUUCCUAAUGCCAACCACUACACAGAGCAUUCCGGGUGCUUUUUAUAUGGCAAUGACAUGGGGGCUUUUAUGUGGCACUGCCACAGGUGUUUAUACAUGGAACUGGACUGUGUGCUUUUACAUGACACCAGCAAGGGCACUUUAACAUGGCACAGGUGAUUUUAGAUGUCACCAGCAUCCACAAGAGGAGCUCUCAGCUGAGAGAAGGGCAUUGAAGACAUAGCUGUAUGUAUGGAGAGCCACAGUUUUAUUUUGCUUGACAUGUCUUCUCAAAUAUAGCAAACCACCAGAAGUCUCAGUUCCUUGCCAUCUCCUCUGUGAGGCCCAACAUCUAAAGAUCCUUUCUCACUACACUGAACCAUGUCUUCCACAAAUUCCCUCCACAAUUAGAGGUUAGCAUUCCUUUAUACAGCCAUCCUCAUCCAUAUGCAUCACAUAACCAUACCAGUACAGUCUUCUCUCUUGCACUCUACAACUGAUGCCUUGUAUGUCCAGUUUUUCUCUUAAAUCAAUUUUCACUCUGCUGUACAUGCAUACUGACAUUACUGAACCAAUGGCUUCAUGCCCUCUGUAGUCAUACCCCAUGUUUCACUGCCAUGUAGCAUAGUUGUACAUACACAAGCAUCAUACGAUCUACCUUUCACUCUUAGAGAGCUUUCUGAACUUUUCCCAACCUGUUUUUAUUCUAGCAAUUACACUUUCAGAACUUCUUCUUCCACUACUAACUUGGUUGCCAAGGUAACGGAAGCUAUCUAUUACUUCUAAGGAUCCUCUGCCCUCACAUACAUUUGAGGAAGUCUAUUCUUUAUACAUUCCUAGUGAUUAUUGUACCUACACACCUGCCACACACAAAGGCUAUUUUUUCUGUUAACCUUCCCCUAAUACUGCUGCACCUAUUAUAUGUCCAUAGCUUGCACAGGGUACACCACAUGGAGUUUCUACCAACACCUUUUCUACAUAAUGAACAGAGCCAUUUUUCUGAAAGAAUUUGACUUUUGUCCAUUUUUUUCUACUUACUAGGACUUUGGUGUUAGUUAAUUAACUCUAAGGCCCUUAGAUUCCAGCCCAUGCUUCCACACUUGAAAUUUCCUCUCUAGUUCAGGUAGUAAUUCAGCAAUAAGAACAAGGUCAUCAGCAUAGAGGAGCUUCCAAGGGCAGCCACUCUUAAAUUCCUCUGUUAUAGCCUGGAGGGCUAUGACAUAGUAGAGGAGUCUGAGAAUCAAUCUUUGGUGAACUCCUACUUGUACACUAAAUUCAUUGCUAUACAAAGUGUAAAAGAAUUAUUUCUACUCUAGGCACAAAGCCUUGAAAAUUUUGGCAGGAAGUGGGCUAGUCGAUUAUAUUAACCCCAGUGCAUAACUGGUACUUAUUUCAUCAACCCCAAAAGGAUGGAAGGCAGAAUUCAAACUCAGAACAUAGUGGCAUAUGAAAUACUGCUAAGCAGUUUGCUUGGUGUGCUAACGAUUCUGCCAGCUCACUGCCUUAACAAAGUGUAAAAUAAUAUAUUCUUUUCUACUCUAAGAACAAGGCCUGAAAUUUUGGGGGAGGGGGGCCAGUCAAUUAGAUCAACCCCAGCACGCAACUGGUACUUAAUUUAUCGACCCCGAAAGGAUGAAAGACAAAGUAACCCUUGACGGAAUUUGAACUCAGAACAUAAGGACAGACGAAAUACAGCUAAACAUUUCGUCCAGUGUGCUAACAUUUCUGCCAUGUAUUAUAUCUGUCAUGGAUUAGGCCAGUCAUGCAUGGGCCUCCAAUCUCUGCACAACAAACGACAACAAACUACAGAAAACACAUUCUGCCAGUCAUUCUCAACCAGAGUUCCAAAGACCCUUGGGCGUCCAUAUAAGAGUUUGUUGUUAAAAGUUAUGUGAAAUAAAUACUUCCACAAUACGAAAAAUAUUUUAAUAAUUAUUUAAUAUUAUCUGUAAUAAUAUUUAAUCAUGAAAAUAUAAUAGGAUUCUUUUUAAACAGAGAAUGGUUAUGAGGAUCUAGUAGAGUAGAAUAAGAAUCAGAGGGGUCCGUAGUUGAGAACCACAGAUGUGAACAAUGAAACCAAGCAAAAUGUAUCACCAGCUGGACAUCUGAUGGGUAAACUUUGUUUUAAAUCAUCCUUGUAUUAUCGCCAUCAUCAUCAUCAUCGUUUAACGUCUGCUUUCCAUGCUAGCAUGGGUUGGACGAUUUGACUGAGGACUGACAAACCAGACGGCUGUACCAGGCUCCAAUCUGAUCUGGCAGAGUUUCUACAGCUGGAUGCCCUUCCUAACGCCAACCACUCUGAGAGUGCAGUGGGCACUUUUACGUGCCACCAGCACAAGGUCCAGUCAGGCGGUACUGGCAAUGGCCAUGCUCAAAUGGUGUUUUUUACGUGCCACCCGCACAGGAGCCAGUCCAGUGGCACUGACAAUGACUUUGUACCGUAUUACUUAAAUUUGAUGGUUGUACAAAACACUUAAGUUUUAGGAAAAGACUGAAAUGUUUCUAAUUCUAGUUACCACACAAACAUACAUCAGACUAUUUACUUCUACAAUGAACAAGAAUGUAGAAAUCCUAAAUGGGAACAGGGUGUGUGUGUGUGUACACGCAUGCAUGGGUGUGUGUGUGUACAGAGAGAAAAGGGGAGUGAGAGAGGGAGAGUGUGUGUUGGAUAUAUGCAAACAAACUUCAGCAGACCAUAAUAGAUGAUCUAAUGUAAUGUUAUGCAGCGUUUACUGACUUUUAACUUUCUCAAUUCUUUUUCAGAUAUGCCAACAGGAAAUGAAGAGGCAUGCCAAGAUUUUAGCUCUGGCGGCCAACCACAGUAACUUGGAUACCGCCAGCUUUUUGAACAUGACUGGGUUCUUCAUACUCGGGUUUGGGAAAGUGUUGGAUGUGUCGUUUGUAGCCAGAGGAGAAAAACAUUCUCAGCAGUCAGACAUCAUUUCAAUGGCCAAGUUCAACCAGCAGAUCCAGGACAUCAUCGAUAACUCCAGCGAGUUAAUAAGGACUACUUCCAAGCGGUUAAAGAUAGCAGAAUCCGUUAUCGGAAGUGUAGUGCAAGUGGGUAUCAGGUAAAGGCCUACAUGAUAAGUAAUGGUCAGUUCAUGUAUGACAAGACCCGGGCAAAUUAUGCGAUCAUGAGAUUCCCAGUGUCACUUGGCCUUCUCGUGUGCCGUAUUUGAACUUGUUGGAGCAUCAUCAAGAGAUAAGAAUUGGCCAGCAGUUCUGCAGUGCCACAGACAUGUUGGGGUAGGGGCUGGGAUCUUCUGUUGUAGGUGUGGCGGAUGACAUUGUCAGAGGAUACCUGAUGGCAGUUGCUUCUGUAGCUGCAUUGGGGCCAUCAUUAGGGUUCAGGGUAGUUUUAUUUCUUUGAUGUAUUGAGGUGAACAUGUGUGACAUUUUGCUGGGUGUAUCCAUUGUUACUCUUUGGUAUUCUGGAUUUUUCUUCUUUAGUUUUCUUCUCAGUAGCCUGGCACAUCCUGAGUGUAAGUGAGUGGUUGGUGGUGAUGGUUAGUGAUGGAGGUGGUGGAAGGUCUCUUGGGAUAGGAUACUUAUAAUGUAACUUAAACCUAACUCAAUUUCAAGUACAGUCAACUUUAACCCUUUCAUUACUGUAUUUCUGUUGAGAUGCUCUGUGUUUCUUUCAAUUACUUUAAAUAUAACAAAGAAUUUAGUAAAAUAACUUAAUUAUCAUUAAUCUAGUGUUAGGAACGUAAAUUGUGACUAAGGCUUGGUGGAAUAUUUUAAUUCAAAACUUAUGAAAACAAGACAUUUUACCACAGAGCCAGAGCCGGUUUUGGCCGGGUUAGUAACAAAAGGGUUAAAAGCAAUAAAUAGCAGACAAAUUCUUUAACAUACAAAGAAAAAUAUUUAUUAAAGUGUAAUUUCAUGGCUUCAGUAAUUGGAAAGUUAACACAUAGCACGUCCAAAAUGUAUGUAAAAUUGUAGAAGUGAAAUUACAAAACAGACAUGGUGCUGAUCUUUCAGUGCAAAAAUCUCAAAUUCAAAUCCACAGUAAAUGUUUUGUUGUUCAUUUCUGUAUUAUUCGGUCCUCCUAGAUGCAAAGUGGUACAGAUCUUCUUGAAGUGUUAUCUUGGUUAUACCGAUGUCCAGAAAAUUCAUCUAGCAUCAGAUAAAAACCAUAAAAGUGAAACCCCAAAAGUUAAUCAGAGACACACUUUGUUAUAUUGAAAAUUGUUACUGGAGAGCUGCAGUUGGAUGUCUUCAAGUAGUUGUAUGAACUAGAAGUAGUAGUCAGUCAAAUGCUUAGUUUCAGAGCAAGCUAAAACUAUGCUUGAGUCUAUGCAAAACCUUGAGCAAGUGUCUUCUACCAGGGACUGAGGUUGACUAAAACUCUGAGUGAAAUCUGAUAGACACUGGGAAAGCCCAUUGGAGAGACAGUUCUUAAUUUUAGAUGGUAGACUUCAUCAAAUUUUCUUAACUUAUUGGUUCUGGAGAAAGGAGUAGUGCCCUUAACAGGCUCUGCCUAACUAGUGAGAGUUAUGCCAUUAAUAUUCUUCUUGAAUAUUUAUAAGUUAACACCUGCAGGAAAGACAUGAACAGGGAGAAAAUUUCAGAGGGGCAAUGCUCUGAGGAGGAAGGAUUGGACAUUGUGAUAAGUAUGGUGCCUGGGAAGUUAUGCAGUAAACAUUAUGAGAGGAGGAGAUGGCACGAGUACUACCAGCUCUGAGGGGUACAGCCUAUCAUAAAAGGGGUAGCAAAGGUAUAGAGAGAAGAUAACACAAUAUGGUCUGGAGCUGGAACAUGUCUGUGAGUGAUUUUGUACCAGUCAGUCAGGUGACCUGUUUCUGAAUAUGGUCUUGGAUUUUCAUGUGUGCAGUAGCAGCACUAUCCUGGAUGUAAAAGCAAUACUCCAUGCUGGGCGUCACCUGAGCUUUGUAGUGUUCAGUUUAACAUCAACUCUUACCUCUCUCUGGUAUGCCUUUAGCAGAAUCUAGACUUUGGAAAACAAUCAGGCAAAGUCUCUGCUCUGAGAAUAAUUUCUUCACUUCCUCGCUCUCAGUGCCCUUGAAAAGGGUCAUGAGCAUUGCUUUUCCUUCCCUAUAUCAUAUGCAGUGACUGUGGUUGCAUUUUGUUUCCCAAGGAUUCACAGGAGAUGGUAAACAACAAAAGCUAAAAACUCAUUUACAAAGCUAAUCUAUAAGGUGUUUCAAAAUCCACAUACACCUUUAAUGCACAACACCCGGCCCUUUUUACUCAAAUAGUUGGAAGCUGAGAUGAUCCUUAUUUCUUCCUCCCUACAUUUACCUGAUAAACUGUUUUUCAGUGGAAACAGUUCAAUAUCAAAAUUUGUGAGAUUCUCAAAUCAUCUAAUAAUCAAAGCACCAAAUACCAUAAUUAUACAAGAGUGAGCAUGUAUGUGUACAUAAAUGUAUAUGAGCAUACCUGUAUGCAUAUGUGUGUGUGUGUGUGUGUAAACAGAACUAAGUCAUAGUUCCAUGUGCUUCAAAAACAGAAAUUUUGUCAUUUAUACAGGUGUUUGUAAGGAGUAUCUGUCAAACCAAUGACAACAUGGAAAAAUAAAAAAUAAACAAUAAACUGAUAAUGAUGAUAAGAAGAUAGAAUGGUGAGAGAAGAGAAUGGGGAAGGAGCAGGAACGCAUUUGCACUAACAUAAAAUGCUAUCAAGAACAUUUGUUUCCAUCACAUAAUACAAAAUGCAACAAGAUGUUUGCUUUUAUUUUGCUAUCUGUAUCAAGAAUCCGGGUUAUAUCUCUUAAUAUAACAGUUUCCUUAUCUGCCUUGUUCAUCAAAUGAUUCCAAUUUCUAAUUAUUGGAGAUUUCGUUUGUUUAUUUCUUUAGCUUUCAUUUUAUCAUCUUCAAUUUAGUGUCUUUUGCUAGAAGAAUAAAGGCAACAGCAGCCAAUUGAUAUGGAAAACCUCAGCAGAAAAUCUAUUUUAUCUUUCACUCCUUUUGCCAUUCCAUUAUCUAACAUGAUCCUGGUUUUAUUUUGCUGAUAAUUUAUGUAUUCAAAUUUCUCAAAACUGAAAGAAGUAACUUCAGAAUUUGAUAAUUUGGAACAUAGAGAAACAAGAAUGAAUGCAAAAAACAAAAAAUAAAUAAUGACAACAGAGAUUCCUUCUGUUCCAUAUUUCUUCUUGUCUUUUGUUUUAUAGUUAUUCUAUUCACAAUUCUUCUAUUCAUCAGUUCUUUAGAUUUUUUUAGCCACCUAUUCUUUAGCAUUGAAGUUUUCGGUUCUUUCUCCUUUGGGUAGAAAGAUCAUAGUUGUUCUGCUGCUGCUAUUCACACGGUGACAUUAUGGAAGUUAUGAUAAAAAGGUAAUGAUGAUAAAGCCUUCAAAUGUUCUUUCCAUCACCACAAUACACUACUAACUAAGGUGUAACAAUGUUAUUUUUCUCAUGUAAGAAUUUUAAUUCCAUACAAGUUUAACAUUACAAGCAGAUGUUGAUUAGAUGUCACUUAGUGCUUGGGCUUCUAUAUGAUGCCUAUUUACGGCUGACUUUAACAAUACAAUAGAGCAAAACCACUGAUGUGACAGAAACCCUUUGUCAGCAGGUCAGCACAAACCCUAUCAACAUGGCCAGUUUUUAUGCUCCUUCAGUUAUUUCAGUUAGCAUAAACCCUUAGCAUAUAGCCUGAAGGAAGAGUUCAAAAUCAAGUUCAGAGAAGGAAGAGCGAUGGCUUUCUGAUGAGGAAGAAAGUAUGAAUAGCUUAUAAGCACAAUGUAUUGUCUGCUUCAACCAUUCUGCCAUACAGAAGAUCCAUCUACACCUGCCAUCUCUGGUUUCUUAAGGACAGUUUUUAUAGCAUGCUGAAUGAAAGACUAUCAGCCAGUCACUCACCCUUUCUCUAUUUCUUGGAAGGAACAGUCACUGAGUGGCCCUUCAUAAUCCAUUCAUGACAUGGUCAAUUCUGAGAGAGAGAGAGAGAAUCAACCCCAGUACUUGACUGGAACUUCGUUUAUUGACUCCAGAAUGAUGGAAAGCAAAGUUAACUGUGGCAGGAUAUGAACUCAGAACACAAAGAACUAGAACAGUUGUUGCAAAGCAUUUGUCUAAUGUUCUAAUAAUUCUGCCAAUCAACCACUUUAAUUAAAUCUGUGCAUGAAGCAAUAAAGAAUUACUUCUUUAAGCAACUAAAAACCUUAAGCAACACAAAGGAAACAUCAUCUAAAUGAAUAAGAAAUUAUACCUGCAAAAUUAGAUAACCAAGCAAGCAUGUCACUUCGCCUGGAUUAGAGCUGAAUUCAUUGAUUUUAAAUCUAUUUUUUCAUACUAGCAUAGGUUGACUUAUUUUAUUGAGGCAUUGUUUUACAACUUGAUGCUCUUCUUGUCACUAACCCUUUCCUGUUUUUUAAGUAAGGGAUGUUUUUAUUAUACUUGUCUUUGAAAACACAAAGCUAUUGGGCCAUUUGUUGACAGGCAAUUGUCGGCAACCUAGUUAAGAGUACCCCUGAUGCGUCAUGCAAUAUGAUAUGCUUGAGAAGACCUGUUGAGUCAAGUUAAACUAAUAUUGUAGCUGUGACCAGUGCCACAUAAAAAGCACCAUCUGAACGUGGUCGAUACCAGGUCCGCCUGACUGGCUCCUAUGCCAGUGGCAUGUAAAAAGUACCAUCUGAACAUUGCCGAUGCCAGUACCCUCUGAUUGGCCCUUGUGCCGUGGCAUGUAAAAAGCACUAUCCAAACGGGAUCAAUGCCAGGCCCACCUGAUUGGCUCUUGUACUAGUGGCAUGUAAAAAGCACCCACUACACUCUUGGAGUGGUUGGCAUUGUGAAGGACAUUGCCAAAUCAGAUUGGAGUCUGGUACAGCUGCUGGCUCUCCAGACUUCAGUCAAACUCUCCACCCCAUGCCAGCAUGGGAAAUGGACAUUAAAAAGUGAUCAUGAUGAUGUCAUAGAAUAUAAACAUUCAUACAGAAAUGCAUCUGCAUGCAUACACACAUACAUAUGAAUGUGUGUGUGUGUAAUAGGCUUCCAUUCAGUUUCUAUCUACCAGUUCCACCUACAAGGCACUGGUAUAGAAGACCCAAAGCUAUAGAAGACAUUUACUUAAUGUGUUGUGCAGUGAAACCCAAACUGAAAUCACAUUGUUCUAAUGCAAACCUCUUUACCACACAGCAAUACCUACACCUAUUUUAAAGUUAUUUGAAAAGCAGUUUUUGUUAGAGGCAGGGUACCACUCUGAGGUGUAGGGAGAAAAACUAAAGCAGUUUAACAGAAAAUGCAGAAAAUAAUUCACAAGAAAAAAAAAUAAGGUUAAAGAGUUGGAACAAGGCAAAACAGUGGAUUUAUUAUCGGAAUCCAUAAGUUGGGUAGAAAUGGAGAGUAGCCAUCAUUUGUCUUUGGCUAUC